UUUGCCCUUGUUUGAUACUGAAUUUGAUGUGAAAAAGAAAUACAAUUUGUCCUCGGGAUACAGGAAAAUAGAGAGGUCUCUUGGAUGUUCCUAAACUCUCUACGCUUGAGCUUGGAACCCACACACUAGACACCAGAGUCUAAAUAGUUUAGAGAGAGAAAGAGACAAAAUCGAGUAUAGGGAGAGAGGUUAACCCACUAUUUUUUUUCCCUGGAAUUGCAGAACAUGAUUUUUUGAGAGAUGCAAAAUGGC
rnacentral:lncRNA from 1 species